rnacentral:rRNA from 1 species
GUACUACUCUCAGAGUUUGAUCCUGGCUCAGGAUGAACGCUAGCUACAGGCUUAACACAUGCAAGUCGAGGGGCAUCAGGAAGAAAGCUUGCUUUCUUUGCUGGCGACCGGCGCACGGGUGAGUAACACGUAUCCAACCUGCCCUUUACUCGGGGAUAGCCUUUCGAAAGAAAGAUUAAUACCCGAUGGCAUAAUGAUUCCGCAUGGUUUCAUUAUUAAAGGAUUCCGGUAAAGGAUGGGGAUGCGUUCCAUUAGGUUGUUGGUGAGGUAACGGCUCACCAAGCCUUCGAUGGAUAGGGGUUCUGAGAGGAAGGUCCCCCACAUUGGAACUGAGACACGGUCCAA